ACCACGGAGCCACGCCGGCCGGAAGUGGCUCCCUCCUUGAGUCGCCCUUGCCUGUGACCACUGCUUCUCAGCUCCACGCCGCGACAGCUGCUGUGGAAAAGGAGACACACACAUUCAGAGGCGCUCACGGACACGGGCCUGCGCUGGCCUCCCGGGUUUGUGCUCCUUGGAAAACGCUGCCUGUGCCUUCUCGUUUCUUCCCCUCGCCUGUCUCCUUCAGACUCCGUCCCCCGAGAAGUGACAAGGCCUCGCCCACGCUCCCCGGGCGGCAGGGGUGGACCAGGGAAAGUGGCCGGAGUCGGCUGGCUCUUCCUCCGUGAAGCCUCUUCUUUGCCGUCCAGGUCCGCCCGCCCGGCUGGCUAAGUCCCUGUGUAAGUGUUGGCGCGAGGAACUCGGACUUGCUGCCACGUGAGCUGUUGUGGGCACUCCUGCUCCCAGGAAUGAGGGCCUCGCCAGCACAGAAACAAGAGGUCUCCUGACUACCUGGAGCCCCUAUAAAAUCCGCUCCCCCGUCUCCGGAGCCUAAACCAGAUGUGCGUGCCGGGAUCCCGCCAGCCAAAUCUUUCUGGAGCUUCCUGCCAGCAAAGCCCUGUGCUGGCCGCGUGGCACCCGGGGGUGCGGUCCUGUGUCAGGAGCAAUCUGAAGGCUUUAAAGGAACAUUCCAGUAUUCUCCACGACAGAUAGCUUCGCUUUCCCGCUAAAUGGCCUUCCCUCUUUUCUCCCCGCCCUGCCUCCUCCACACACUUCCUCCCCGUGGUGGAUCCCCUUGCAGGAUUGGACCUCAACAGCCUUGUCCAGUGGGCAAAGCAGAUGAAGAAACGGAGACUCCGAGGCCAGUUGGGUGACCAGUGAGGGUGCAGCAGCCUCAUCCUCCAUCCAGCAUGCGGGUGCGCCUGCAGCCGGUGGCUCUACUGGAAGGGGACCAGCAUCCAGCAGGCGCCUACUGUGUGCCAGGCAGGCUCACAGCUAAUUUCAACAAGUAUUGAUAAUAUCCCCAUUAGGAGUCAUUUUCCUCCACUGAGGCUGAGAGAAGUGACUCGUCCGAGGUCCCCCCUGAGCCGGCCUGGAACCCACAUCUGUCUGUCUGGCCAGGACACAUGUGUCUGGCUGCGAAGCUGUGCUGUUUCUCGCCCAUCUGAGGGCUUCUGCCCGCCGGCUCCCGGCACUCACCACAGACUCGGCCCAUUUCUCAGCCCUCACCUUCCAGGUCUGUGCUGCCAACUCCUGGGCAGGGUUUUCGCUCUGAAAGCGGAAGGAUGGGGCUUUGCUGAGCGCUGUGUUAUGGACAAAAUAAUUCAUGAGGAUUCAGCGCAGACACGCUGAUGGGACCAAAACCAACAACACAGGAGCGGAAGCGAAUGACAUUAAAAUUGGGGGGUUGGGCAGACAAUGAUAGGGUGGUUAAGAAAGGGAAGGGUUUGGUAUAAAGAA